rnacentral:rRNA from 1 species
AGUCGAACGAUGAUCAGGAGCUUGCUCCUGUGAUUAGUGGCGAACGGGUGAGUAACACGUGAGUAACCUGCCCCUGACUCUGGGAUAAGCGUUGGAAACGACGUCUAAUACUGGAUAUGACUUCCGGCCGCAUGGUCUGGUUGUGGAAAGAUUUUUUGGUUGGGGAUGGACUCGCGGCCUAUCAGCUUGUUGGUGAGGUAAUGGCUCACCAAGGCGACGACGGGUAGCCGGCCUGGGAGGGUGACCGGCCACACUGGGACUGAGACACGGCCCAGACUCCUACGGGAGGCAGCAGUGGGGAAUAUUGCACAAUGGGCGAAAGCCUGAUGCAGCAACGCCGCGUGAGGGAUGACGGCCUUCGGGUUGUAAACCUCUUUUAGUAGGGAAGAAGCGAAAGUGACGGUACCUGCAGAAAAAGCACCGGCUAACUACGUGCCAGCAGCCGCGGUAAUACGUAGGGUGCAAGCGUUGUCCGGAAUUAUUGGGCGUAAAGAGCUCGUAGGCGGUUUGUCGCGUCUGCUGUGAAAUCCCGAGGCUCAACCUCGGGCUUGCAGUGGGUACGGGCAGACUAGAGUGCGGUAGGGGAGAUUGGAAUUCCUGGUGUAGCGGUGGAAUGCGCAGAUAUCAGGAGGAACACCGAUGGCGAAGGCAGAUCUCUGGGCCGCAACUGACGCUGAGGAGCGAAAGCAUGGGGAGCGAACAGGAUUAGAUACCCUGGUAGUCCAUGCCGUAAACGUUGGGCGCUAGAUGUAGGGACCUUUCCACGGUUUCUGUGUCGUAGCUAACGCAUUAAGCGCCCCGCCUGGGGAGUACGGCCGCAAGGCUAAAACUCAAAGGAAUUGAC